rnacentral:rRNA from 1 species
AUCUUCCGCAAUGGGCGAAAGCCUGACGGAGCGACGCCGCGUGGAGGACGAAGGCCUUCGGGUUGUAAACUCCUGUCACGAGUUAAGAAGGUCGGCCUACGAACAGUGGGGCGAUUUGACGUAAGCCCGAGAGGAAGCACGGGCUAACUCUGUGCCAGCAGCCGCGGUAAUACAGAGAGUGCAAACGUUGUUCGGAAUUACUGGGCUUGAAGCGCGCGUAGGCUGCGUCGUAAGUGUCAGGUGAAAUCCCACGGCUCACCCGUGGAACUGCCUGGCAGACUGCGAUGCUAGAGUGUGGUAGGGGAGAGCGGAACUCUUGGUGGAGCGGUGAAAUGCGUAGAUAUCAAGAGGAACACCGGUGGCGAAGGCGGCUCUCUGGUCCACAACUGACGCUGAGGCGCGAAAGCUAGGGGAGCAAACGGGAUUAGAUACCCCGGUAGUCCUAGCUGUAAACGAUGGGCACUAGCUUGGGGUCUCCCUGUGUGAUCCCAGGUGAAGUAAAAAUGAUAAGUGCCCCGCCUGGGGAGUAUGGUCGCAAGGCUGAAACUCAAAGGAA